GGCGGAGCCAAUCGGGAGCGCGGCGCCCGUUUGAUUUCAAACGGCCGCGCGCGGUCCCCUCUCUCAGCCCGAGGAUUCCCGCUCGGCGCCGCCGCCCCUCCGGUUUAAAUGGCGGCUUCGCUGGGCUGAGGGGGGCCUUCCUCAGCGAGAGGGGCGGGUGCGGCUCCCCCGAGGCCCAGGCUUGCGCCUCCUUCACCCCUAGGCUUGUCUGAGCCUCAGGAGAGCUGCGCAGAACUGGUUCCUGCUCUCCCCCCGCCUCGCCUGGAGUUCGUGCUGGGAGCUGAAAUUCGAGACUGUGUAAACUCAGAGCAGCCGCAGGCUGUACUUCAUAUAUGCAGAAAAACCUUCUAAUGAGCGUGGCCUUAUGAAAAGAUUAAGUGCAAAUGCAUGUAUCCUCAGCUGGAUACAUAAGAAGUCUGGGGAAAAACGAACAGAAGGGCAGCUUCUUUAAAUCUGACUCUCGGAACUUCAUUUCCUGAGACUGAAAACUGAAAGGCAAAGCACGGUCAGAAAGAGCAGCGACCAGGCAAAGGAGAAAAGCAAGCAAGGCUCUUCAAGACUCCCAGCAGUCCUGUGCAGUUCAUGAAGGAGUGCUGAAAGGCAGAGACCACGGCAGCAGAAGAGCGGAGGUACACGGAUGGCAGCUAGAGACACGCUGGAAGAGAAGGGAGGAGACCAUCUACGCCCUCAAAAAAGAAAACUGCCAUGACAGCAGCCAGGCGAGAAAAGGGACGACACGGUUCCUUAGCCAGCCGGAGGCAGGCGGGAGGCGAGCCCUACCUGCAGU